AAAUUUCUUAAAUGUAAUUUUACCUUAAUGAUGAAAUAUACAUUUAUUUUUAGUGUAAUACUUAUAAAAAUUAAAAUUUUUAUAAAAUUAACUCAUAAUUUAGAAAAAAAAAUUAUAAAAUUUUAAAUAAAUAUAGUUUUAAUUAAUAUAUCAAUAACAAAAAUUUGUGCCAGCAGUUGCGGUUAUACAAUAAUUGAUUUAAGUAUAUAUUUUAUAAAAUAAUUUUAUAUAAAAAUUAUAAUAUAAAAAAUAUUAAGGUGAAAUUUAAAUUUUUUAAAAAUAUAUUUUUUAUUGAUUUUUAGUUAGCAACACCUAGGAUUAGAUACCCUAUUAAAAUAUAAAAAUUAGUAGUAAAUGAAAAUCACGAAACUAAAAAAAAUUGGCGGCUUAAAAUAAUUUUAGAGGAAUUUAUUCUGUAAUGGAUAAAACCCCUUAAUCUUACUUACGUUAGUAAACUUCUACAGUUUGUAUACCUCUAUUUAAAAAUUUUAUAAAAAAUUUUUAAAUGUUUUUAAAAAGAAUUUUUAGGGCAAAGUGCAGCUAAUGCGCAAGUCUGAAAUAAAUUAUACCAGAUUAAAAUCUCACAAAAAUUGAAAAUUUGAAAUAAUCAAAAUAAGAAAAAUUUAAAAGUAAAAUUUAUCUAUAAAAUAAAUUUGAAUAAAAAAAUUUUAAGUGUACAUAUUGCCCGUCAUUCUCUAAGAGAUAAGUCGUAACAAAGUAAAAACACCGGAAGGUGUUUUUA